GUGAGUGUAGCAGUCCCACACGUUCGCUGGCAUCCACCAGCUCCUGCUCCGCCACUUUGCGUCCUCUCUCUGUUUGCUCCAGUGCAGCUCUCAGCUCCUCAAUCUCUGCUUGCAUUAGGCUAUUCCUGCGCUCCACCAUGGCCACCUGCUCCUUCAUGUCCUCCUGUCCUCUGACAGCUUCAUCAAGGUGCAGUUGGGCAUCCUGUGGCAAUGUUCUUUCUUUGUUAGUUGCAUGUCAUGCUUCAGUUAAUUCAUGUGUCAUAUUCAUAUGAUCAAACACUUAAACUCCUCAUUCUACAGAGAGAUACCUUGAGUUGUCCUUGGACGUUCCUGAGCUGUUUCUGGGCCUCAGCAGCCUGGCGGUUGGCAUGACUCAACUGCACCUCCAUCUCAUUCAGAUCUCCCUCCAUCUUCUUUUUGACUCUCAGGGCAUCAUUUCUGCUCCUGACCUCAGAAUCCAGAGUGCUCUGCAUGGAAUCCAACACUCUUUGACUGUUCCUCUUGAUCUGUUCCAUCUCCUCAUCCUUCUCAGCCAGCUUCCUGUCAAUCUCGCUCUUCACCUGGUUCAGCUCCAGCUGCACACGAAGAAUCUUGGACUCUUCAUGGUCUCGAGGUGCUCAGUGCUGAGAGAACGAGCUUCUUUCUGAGCAGCUUCUAGUUCAGCCUGGCUUUCCUCAUACUUCUGUUUCCAGUCUGCUAGGACCUGGAGAAAAGGUAGUCAUUGUUAAUUAGCCAAGUCCAUGGUUCAAGGUUUAGAUUUGAAGAUUAUCCACAUCUUUCUUACCUUAUCAAAGUUCCUCUGCUUCUUGUCAAGGUUGGCAGCCAAUGCAUUUGCCCUCUCCCCAUCAAUCAUGAGGUCCUCUACUUCACUCUGCAGCCUCUGUUUGGUCUUUUCCAGAGAGGCACACUUGGAGUUCACUGCCUCAAUGGAUUCUUCAGCAUCCUGCAGACGCUGUGCCAGCUUUGUCUUAGCUUUAGUCAGAGUGUUGACUUUGUCCUCCUCUGCCUGAAGGUCAUCAAGAGUCUGCUGGUGUGCCUCUUGGAGGGCUUUCUUCUCUUUGGUCAGCUUGGCAAUGCUCUCAUCUUGAGAGGCCAUCUCCUCUGUCAGGUUUUUCACCUAAAUGGAAACAUUAAUUACUGGUUUCAUAAUCAAGAGUCUGAAUCACAAUCUGCAGUGUAUAUGAAGAGUUUGGUUCCAAAACGCUAUAAAUCCAUUUUGAUUAAUUUGAGUAAAAAUGUGUUUUCUUUACCAAGAAAGUGGCAAGAUGAGAACCUAUAUUUUCUGUUUCAGACUUUCAUAUAGCAUCUUUAGGUUAUAAUAACAUUAAAAAUUCUAAUCCAGAUUUUGAUUUUCAAAUAUUUAUUAUAAAAUGUUGUUAUUGUUUUUUAAAUGUAAUAAAUCCAUUGAAUCAAAUGGGUUAUUGGGUUAUUGAAAGUUAUUUACACAACAUAGUAAGUUGAUCCAUAUAUGACAGCCUCUGAAUUUUGGUCAGUACUAAUCUUAUAUACAGGCACUGGACUAAAAAUACAUUCACCGGUCAUCGCUCUCAAAAUGAAUUCAACGGGUCAUCUUGUUUGCUAUAAAUUAAUUAUAACAAUAAAAUAAAAUUUCUUCAUGAACAAGAAUAUGAUCAGCAAUAUCACAUUAGACCACAGAAAUUCCAAAAUAACAUUUCCCUUACAUUCAGCUUCCGAAAGUGCAUUUGUCUUUGCUGUGUUACAUUCAUUUAGUUGACUAGUGCUAUACGCUGUAUUAACAAAAACAUAAAUGGCAUUAAUAAAAACACUUACACUGACAAGCUAGGCAAUAUUGCGUUCAUAAUCGAAUGAGAUUCAUCUAAUGAACUCAAUAUUUU
ensembl:lncRNA